AUUGAACGCUGGCGGCAGGCCUAAUACAUGCAAGUCGAACGAGUGGCGGACGGGUGAGUAAUGUCUGGGAAACUGCUAUAAGGAGGGGGAUAACUACUGGAAACGGUAGCUAAUACCGCAUAGCAUCAGCUGUGCGCAGAUGGGGUUAGCUAGUUGGUGGGGUAACGGCUGACCAAGGCCACGAUCCCUAGUUGAUCUGAGAGGAUGACCAGCCACACUGGAACUGAGACACGGUCCAGACUCCUACGGGAGGCAGCAGUGGGGAAUAUUGCGCAAUGGGCGAAAGCCUGAUGCAGCCAUGCCGCGUGUAUGAAGAAGGUCUUCGGGUUGUAAAGUUCUUUCAGCGGGGAAGCGUUACCCACAGAAGAAGCACCGGCUAACUCCGUGCCAGCAGCCACGGUAAUUC
rnacentral:rRNA from 1 species